CAGCGCACCACACAUGUGUCCCCUGACGCCCACACACUGUGAGAUGUCCGCAGUCUUAGAAGCGUUCGCAAGCCACACUGCGGCUCUAAUACACUUGGCCACCACAUCAAGUUAGAUGGAUGUAGACUGUACCAUGAAAAGCCGUAGCCUACAAUUCAGGAGGUGUUAAGUCGAUAUGCAAGAAUAAAACGUCAUCAGCGUUUAAUUGGCUAUUAAAGUUUAAAACAUUAGCCCUAAUCACAAAGCUCAAACGACAGUAGCUAACGAUUUAGAAACUAACCUGCACUGUAACUAACAGGCAAAUAAUUGUUUAGAUAUUUAUAAUUAAAAUAAUUAUAGGUUUGGAUUGGUUACCCACUGACGCAUCACAGCGACUCUGAUCUGUUGCUCUCUUCCUAUUGGUUGGUCAGCGGUGGUAGCAGCAGUCACAUUGUGAAAUGGUCAUCCGAUAUUUCUGACACCGUCAGAAUUCUGUCCCAGGGUUAGGGCUUUCCUUUGGUCCAGAACACACAAGACCACCGAGAGAGGUGGCCAGUGGCCACCGAGAGAGGUGCACAGGUGCACAGUGGCACGGUCUUGUGUUCAGAGAUAUCUCCAUGUUUCUUCCCCAUUACAGAGGGGUAGUAUAGUUAGUUUUAAUCUGACCUUGACAUA